GCGGGCUCAACCGUACACUCAGUCAAAAUAUCGGCAUUCAUCGCAUUCAACACGAAUCAAAACGAAGAAUAGCUAUUCGCAGCGAAAGCCUGUGAACAUAGACCAAAACAAGAGGGAAGGUCGCUGCUUUCAACAAUGUUCUCUCUGGUCCAGUUCAUAAUUUUUCUUCAAUGAAGCACAAAAGGCAGGAAGUAGAUUACCACUGGAAUAUAAAGCUACAUGAAAGCAGAGCAGUCAGAUGAUGAUGUACGUGUCACAUCUUGUGUCAUUACAGAUCCAGUUCAUGAUUUUCUUUGACGUUGCGGUAGUGAGCCGAAACGAGAAACAUCUGCUUUCUGUAUGCCAUGGACAGAAGAAGACAAAUUUAAUGUUGAAAUCUUGUCUCCUCGAGUCGUUAUAUCCUGUUUUCGUCCUCAGCGGCUUCUGUUUCAUCGUAAUCACAUGCAAGAUAUCUGAGGCUGACUGUCUACGUAUCACGAUCAACCUAUUGAAUAAAGUUUCGAGCUCCUCACCCUUCACUUAAUUGGUCAUAGCAAAUGGCAGACUUGACUUGAAGUCUUCUUGUAAAGCACAGCCUUGUGUAACUUUGUGAAAGUGGGCCCACGAAGUUGAAGAAUGUCAUGUUCACAAGCAACUUACAUCUUGUGUCAUUAAUACAAGUUAAUUAAUGCAUUCACGAUCUUACUCAUAAUGUCCUAAAAGUGUUUGUCAAUGUAAUAAUUAUUUUAUCAGAUAUCAAGACUAUAAUUAUUUUCUUUCAGUUAAAUAUUGUUGAUUUUAGGAACCCCAUUUUCCUUUUCCAGACUCCAGUAUUUCCAAUGGCUAAAUAGUCCACUUUAGAGCAUUGUGUAGUGCAACUGUGCCAGCUUGAUUUUCAUCCCUUUGAGGAACUUUACGAAUGUCUUUUGCAACACUAAUGACAUUGACCCAGGACUCUUAGGUAAUUCAUCAUUGUUAGGGUUAACUGGGAACAACCAUACCAACAAAACAUCUUGCCUGUGUAGCAGUGGUGUACUUACUAAUGUUGCUAUUAUUACCCUUUCAUAGCUGUCAGUUUUUUUUUCAAGGCCUGUGGCAGUUGUCUUUAAUUAUAUGUUAUUGCUUGGGAACUUAAUUCAAACACUGUAAAUACUAGUAAAUGCUUUUGGCAAGAUAAAAGUCUCAAUGAGCACUAAUCCUUGUUGGAGAAUCAAGGGAAGCACAAUGCAGAACAUACUUACCAGUAUUUUUUUCUCUUGUAAUGUUUUUUAAAAACAAACACACCUCUCCUUUAAUGUAAAGCCAAGCCUUUCUGAAUCUUUCAGAAAGAAAAAUAUGAUUCCUCAACUAUGACAGAAACCAUAGAAUAAUUAUCUUUUCUUGCAGAAUGUUUCUAAAAAGUAAACAUUAACAAGGUGACUUAAAAAAAUAAUAAUGUCAAAUGCCAGCACUGCCAGUGAAAACAAUAAAAUGA